rnacentral:rRNA from 1 species
AGCGUACACGGUGGAUGCCCUGGCAGUCAGAGGCGAUGAAGGGCGUGCUAAUCUGCGAUAAGCGCCGGUAAGGUGAUAUGAACCGUUAUAACCGGCGAUACCCGAAUGGGGAAACCCAGUGUGAUUCGUCACACUAUCAUUAACUGAAUCCAUAGGUUAAUGAGGCGAACCGGGGGAACUGAAACAUCUAAGUACCCCGAGGAAAAGAAAUCAACCGAGAUUCCCCCAGUAGCGGCGAGCGAACGGGGAGGAGCCCAGAGCCUGAAUCAGCAUGUGUGUUAGUGGAAGCGUCUGGAAAGGCGCGCGAUACAGGGUGACAGCCCCGUACACAAAAGCGCAUGUGCUGUGAGCUCGAUGAGUAGGGCGGGACACGUGGUAUCCUGUCUGAAUAUGGGGGGACCAUCCUCCAAGGCUAAAUACUCCUGACUGACCGAUAGUGAACCAGUACCGUGAGGGAAAGGCGAAAAGAACCCCGGCGAGGGGAGUGAAAAAGAACCUGAAACCGUGUACGUACAAGCAGUGGGAGCNGUGACUGCGUACCUUUUGUAUAAUGGGUCAGCGACUUAUAUUCUGUAGCAAGGUUAACCGAAUAGGGGAGCCGGAGGGAAACCGAGUCUUAAUUGGGCGUUAAGUUGCAGGGUAUAGACCCGAAACCCGGUGAUCUAGCCAUGGGCAGGUUGAAGGUUGGGUAACACUAACUGGAGGACCGAACCGACUAAUGUUGAAAAAUUAGCGGAUGACCUGUGGCUGGGGGUGAAAGGCCAAUCAAACCGGGAGAUAGCUGGUUCUCCCCGAAAGCUAUUUAGGUAGCGCCUCGUGAAUUCAUCUCCGGGGGUAGAGCACUGUUUCGGCUAGGGGGCCAUCCCGGCUUACCAACCCGAUGCAAACUGCGAAUACCGGAGAAUGUUAUCACGGGAGACACACGGCGGGUGCUAACGUCCGUCGUGAAGAGGGAAACAACCCAGACCGCCAGCUAAGGUCCCAAAGUCAUGGUUAAGUGGGAAACGAUGUGGGAAGGCCCAGACAGCCAGGAUGUUGGCUUAGAAGCAGCCAUCAUUUAAAGAAAGCGUAAUAGCUCACUGGUCGAGUCGGCCUGCGCGGAAGAUGUAACGGGGCUAAACCAUGCACCGAAGCUGCGGCAGCGACGCUUAUGCGUUGUUGGGUAGGGGAGCGUUCUGUAAGCCUGUGAAGGUGGCCUGUGAGGGUUGCUGGAGGUAUCAGAAGUGCGAAUGCUGACAUAAGUAACGAUAAAGCGGGUGAAAAGCCCGCUCGCCGGAAGACCAAGGGUUCCUGUCCAACGUUAAUCGGGGCAGGGUGAGUCGACCCCUAAGGCGAGGCCGAAAGGCGUAGUCGAUGGGAAACGGGUUAAUAUUCCCGUACUUGGUGUUACUGCGAAGGGGGGACGGAGAAGGCUAUGUUGGCCGGGCGACGGUUGUCCCGGUUUAAGCGUGUAGGUGUGUGUUCCAGGUAAAUCCGGUUCACUUUAACACUGAGGCGUGAUGACGAGGCACUACGGUGCUGAAGCAACAAAUGCCCUGCUUCCAGGAAAAGCCUCUAAGCAUCAGGUAACAUCAAAUCGUACCCCAAACCGACACAGGUGGUCAGGUAGAGAAUACCAAGGCGCUUGAGAGAACUCGGGUGAAGGAACUAGGCAAAAUGGUGCCGUAACUUCGGGAGAAGGCACGCUGACACGUAGGUGAAGUGAUUUACUCAUGGAGCUGAAGUCAGUCGAAGAUACCAGCUGGCUGCAACUGUUUAUUAAAAACACAGCACUGUGCAAACACGAAAGUGGACGUAUACGGUGUGACGCCUGCCCGGUGCCGGAAGGUUAAUUGAUGGGGUCAGCGCAAGCGAAGCUCCUGAUCGAAGCCCCGGUAAACGGCGGCCGUAACUAUAACGGUCCUAAGGUAGCGAAAUUCCUUGUCGGGUAAGUUCCGACCUGCACGAAUGGCGUAAUGAUGGCCAGGCUGUCUCCACCCGAGACUCAGUGAAAUUGAACUCGCUGUGAAGAUGCAGUGUACCCGCGGCAAGACGGAAAGACCCCGUGAACCUUUACUAUAGCUUGACACUGAACAUUGAGCCUUGAUGUGUAGGAUAGGUGGGAGGCUUUGAAGUGUGGACGCCAGUCUGCAUGGAGCCGACCUUGAAAUACCACCCUUUAAUGUUUGAUGUUCUAACGUGGACCCGUGAUCCGGGUUGCGGACAGUGUCUGGUGGGUAGUUUGACUGGGGCGGUCUCCUCCUAAAGAGUAACGGAGGAGCACGAAGGUUGGCUAAUCCUGGUCGGACAUCAGGAGGUUAGUGCAAUGGCAUAAGCCAGCUUGACUGCGAGCGUGACGGCGCGAGCAGGUGCGAAAGCAGGUCAUAGUGAUCCGGUGGUUCUGAAUGGAAGGGCCAUCGCUCAACGGAUAAAAGGUACUCCGGGGAUAACAGGCUGAUACCGCCCAAGAGUUCAUAUCGACGGCGGUGUUUGGCACCUCGAUGUCGGCUCAUCACAUCCUGGGGCUGAAGUAGGUCCCAAGGGUAUGGCUGUUCGCCAUUUAAAGUGGUACGCGAGCUGGGUUUAGAACGUCGUGAGACAGUUCGGUCCCUAUCUGCCGUGGGCGCUGGAGAACUGAGGGGGGCUGCUCCUAGUACGAGAGGACCGGAGUGGACGCAUCACUGGUGUUCGGGUUGUCAUGCCAAUGGCACUGCCCGGUAGCUAAAUGCGGAAGAGAUAAGUGCUGAAAGCAUCUAAG